rnacentral:rRNA from 1 species
UACAGAGACUGCAAGCGUUAUUCGGAUUCACUGGGCGUAAAGGGUGCGCAGGCGGCCGUGUGUGUGAGGCGUGAAAGCCCGGGGCUCAACCCCGGAAUUGCACCUCAAACUACAUGGCUAGAGCAUUGGAGAGGGUAGCGGAAUUCACGGUGUAGCAGUGAAAUGCGUAGAUAUCAGGAGGAACACCGGUGGCGAAAGCGGCGCGCUGGAUCUCUUCUGACGCUGAGGCGCGAAAGCCAGGGGAGCGAACGGG